GCCGCGCGCUGAGGCCGCCCACCAGCAAGGUAGGUGGCGCCGCGGCGAGAGCCAGUCAAGGGCGCCUGGGAGAGUGACCCUCGGGACCCUGCCGCCGCCGCCGCCGCCAUUUCGGACCGCCCCGACCCCGCCCCUCGGAGGGGCGCGACCAGGGCUUCUUCCUGUCCAUGGCCCUAAUGACAACAAGGGUCCCAGCCUCAGCACCUGGCUACAGACCCGCAGAGGCAACAGCUUCUCACAGCUUCCCAUGACUUUCCAGCUCCUGGUCCUCAGCUCAGGAAGUCAGCUGGACUCCCCUUGGGUCCCCCUGCCCGUGCUGCAGAGCGGACAGUUAGUCAAGGCAGCACACUGGGCAGAGGUUCACCGACACAGGCAUGCUGUGAGGCAUUCUGUUGCCAUCACUCCGAACAGGUCCCUGGGCCCCUGCGUAGCCAGUGCCUUUCCCAAGCACCAUUGAUUGGCCUCUCACUGUAGUUUUACCUUUGCUUUGAAUUCCAUGUGAAUGAAAUCAUGUAGGAUGUAUGUUAUAUCUGGCUCCUUUCUCUUGAAAUAAUGCUUUUGCAAUUCUUCCAUGUUAUUGUGUGUUUCAGAAAUUUGUUCCUUUUUAUUGCUUAGUAUUCUGUUGAAUGGAUACACUGACAUUUGUGCAUCCCUUGAAUGUAUAUUCCUGUUGUUUCCAGUUUGGGCUGCUGUAAAUAUUCCCAUAGGCGUCUUUGGAGUAAACACCUAGAAGAGGAAUUGCUAGAUUGUGUAAGUGUUUGUUGAACCUUUUACGACAUUGCUGUUGUCCAAAGUAGUUGAACCAUUUUGUAUUCCCAGCAGCAGCAGCAGCCGUGUAUGAGAACUCUGGUUAUUUUAGAUUCUUGCCAGUACAGGCACACCUCGUUUUAGUGUGCUUUGCAGAUAUAACCGAUGGAAGGUUUGGGGCAACUUUGUCUCAAGCUUGUCUAGGGGCACCAUUUUUCCCUCAGCCCAGAUGAUCUUCAGCAUGAUUUAGCAAUAAAGUGUUUUUCAGUUAAGGUAUAUACAUUGUGUUUUAGACAUAAUACUAUAUUGUACACUUAACAGACCAGGAAGUGGUAUAGUGUAAACAUCACGUUUAUAUGCACUGGGAAGCUUGCAUUAUUGCCAUAUUCACUUUAUUGCAGUGGUCUGGAACCCAGCCCACACCAUGCCUGAGGUAUGCCUGUACUUGGUAUUGCCAGUCCUCAGUGUAGCCAUUCUCAAAGUGUAUAGUGGUAGCUCUUUGUGGUUUUAAUUUGCACUUCCUUGUUAACACAUCAUGUUAGCAUCUCUUCAUGUGCUUACUGAACAUUUGAACAUUUGUAUGUCUUUUGUGACUUGUGUUUUGAAAUAUUUUGCCCAUUUUAAAAUUUAACAAAAUUUUGUAAUUUAAAUUUUGUAUUCUGGGUCCACACCUUUUGUUAGGUAAAUAUCUGGCAAAUAUUUUCUCUGAUUCUGGGCUUGCUUUUUCAUUCUCCUAAUUAUAAAGCAUAAGUAUUUGAUUUUGAUAAAGUCCAAUGUAUCAAGUUUUUAGUGGUUUAUGUCCUAAGAAAUCUUUGCUUGUCCAAAUGUCACAAAGAUUUCCUCUAGAAGUUUUAUGGUUUUCACUGUCAUGCUUAUGUCAAUGGUGCACUGUGAGUUAAUUUUUGUGUACCUUGUCAGGUAAGGAUUGGGAUUCCCCUUACCCCUUAGAUAUCAAGGUAUUCUAGCACUUGUUGAAAAAUUAUCCUUUCCUCCCAUUAAAUAACUUGGUACCAUUGUUAAAACUCAGUUGCCCAAACCUGUGUGGGCCUAUUUCAAUACUCUAGUCUAUUUCAUUGAUCAAUAUGUCUGUCCUUAUGCCAGUACCACACAGUCUCGAUUAAUGUAGCUGUAAAUUAAGUGUUGAAAUCAGUAAGUGUAGGUCUUCCAAUUUGGUUCCUAGUUUGCAGAAUUAUUUUAGUUAUUCUGGAAGGCAGCUAUGCUUACCUCCAUAGCACCAAUGCCAAUUGUUUUAGUUAUUCUGAGUUCUCUGUCUUUCCAUAUAAAUUUUAGAAUCACCUUGUCAAUUUCUACAAAAAUGCCUCAUGAGAUUUUGAUUGGGAUACAUUGACUCUGAAUAUUUGGGGAGAAUUGAUAUCUUAACAAUAUGGAAUCUUCAGAAUCCAUGAACAGCAUAUAGUUCUCUAUUCAAUUACUUAAAUCUCUUCAUUUCUCAUAGCAAUGUUUUUCAGCUUUCAAUGUUUAAUAUUUACAGGCCUUGUAAAUAUUUUGUUAAAUUUAUCCCUACGUAUCCCAAUUUUAAUGCUAUUACAAAUAUAUUUUAAAUUCCAAAUUUUAAUUCUUCAUUGCUAGUGUAUAGAAAUACACUUGUCUUUAUGUUGACUUCGUAUCCUGCAAUUGCUAAACUUACUUAUUCAUUCUUGUAGCUUAUUUUUGUAGAUUCCUUAUAACUUUUUACAUACAUGCUCAUGUUUUAUGCAAAUAAAGACCGUUUUACCUCA